CCUACGGGUGGCAGCAGUGAGGAAUAUUGGUCAAUGGGCGUAAGCCUGAACCAGCCAAGCCGCGUGAGGGAUGAAGGUUCUAUGGAUCGUAAACCUCUUUUAUAAGGGAAUAAAGUGUGGGACGUGUCCUAUUUUGUAUGUACCUUAUGAAUAAGGAUCGGCUAACUCCGUGCCAGCAGCCGCGGUAAUACGGAGGAUCCGAGCGUUAUCCGGAUUUAUUGGGUUUAAAGGGUGCGUAGGCGGCCUUUUAAGUCAGCGGUGAAAGUCUGUGGCUCAACCAUAGAAUUGCCGUUGAAACUGGGGGGCUUGAGUAUGUUAGAGGCAGGCGGAAUGCGUGGUGUAGCGGUGAAAUGCUUAGAUAUCGCGCAGAACCCCGAUUGUGAAGGCAGCCUGCCAGGGCAUGACUGACGCUGAGGCACGAAAGCGUGGGGAUCAAACAGGAUUAGAUACCCGUGUAGUC
rnacentral:rRNA from 1 species